rnacentral:lncRNA from 1 species
GUGUCCUUGGCUAGUACUCUGAUUCUGUAGGUCAACCCUGACCAAAGCAGGAGCUGUAGAAUAGCCUCCUAUUUGAUCUUCCUGCCUCCAGGCCUGCCUCGCUUAGAUCCAUCUUCCACAUAAUCUCCGUGAUUCAAAGGCCACAUCUAAUGAUGCAACUGCUCCUUCCAUUGCUCUCCAUCUUCUGCAGAAGAAAAAAGUCUGAGCUCUUCCCCAUGGCUUCUAAAGUAUUUGAUGUGAUGGUGAGGUUGAUAAAGGUGGCUAAUAUUUCCUGAGCAUUACUAUGUGCUAGAUCCACUGCACUCGAUGUAAAUUAUUUAAUCCCUUAAAGUCUUCUGGAAUAGAUAUUAUUAUCAUCCCUUUUUUAAGGAAAAAGAAACUGCUUUCAAGAUUUGUUUGCUUGGUUAGUAAGUGUUAGGGAAUAAAUUUGAUCAGGGUCAAUCAUUCCCCAGAGCACUCGCUCAUAACCUCUAAAAUACACUUCCUUGACUCCUCUAGACCAAAAUGACAGGUAAGAAUAAAGCCUUCUUUUUAUCUUGUAAGAGGUCCAGUGCAUAAUCGAACAGAAGUGGUUUCAGCAAAAGUCUUGCAAUUCAUUUGAGAAAAACUAAAGUAGUCAGCCAAGUGUCUCAGAUGAACCAGUGAUUCCUUAAAUCAAUGUUAGGUCCCAAGGCAAGUGGUAGUGGGGAGUGGUUUGUGCUUUGAAAUACUCACUUCCUCAACAUUUCGUACAAUUCACACUUUGAUCUGUUAUUGGAUGACACUUUCAAUGCCUCUUUUAUAAUAGGCCAAAUACAAGUUUCCAAAAGCCACUAGGGAAUAAACAUUUUAAAUUAGACUUGACAAAGGUGGCCUUCUAAUUAGUUCUUCUGUUUCAUGUUUUUCUCCAUUUUUGUCUAUACUGAAAUAUUUUUUGUGACUAUUGGAAAUUUUUACUUUGCUUUAUUUUUUGUGCUUAAUAAUAGAAAGACAAAAUAAAUGUACUGAAUAUAUAUAUAUAUAUAUAUUCAAAUCACAGAAAUCAUCAGAUAUGUCAGUAGCAAUGCUUUAGCUCCAACUGGACACCUUUUAAGAUUGAAGCAGGUCAGCAGGCUUUUGGAUUGUGUAGGAAAAAGGAAAACUCAAGAAUAUCCUUGUUUCUGGAAAUGUUUUAUGAACAGAUGUGAUUAAAGACCGAAGUGUGAUUGGGAUUCUCUAAUAUUAUUAACCCCUGGGAAUGGAAAACUUUCUUUCAAUAUACACAUAAAUGGUUUGAAUCACACAGUCAAUAUCUUCACGUGUGUUUUCAUAAAGAUGUUAUUUCUUAGAGCUGAGGACAUAUAUGGUUUUCUAGGUUUUCUGCAUGGAAAAGGAAGGGAUUCAAAUGCUUGAACUCUCAUUUUUCUAGCAUUGCUUUUUUUUUUUUUAAAUUUUACUUAACAGUCUCAUUCAGAGGAACUAUUUUUCUUUUUUGACAGCAACACUGCACUGUUGGCCUGGUGCUUGAUUUGCUAGGGAGCCAGUAGGCAGAGGCCUCUCUGGGGGAGACUGAGCAAGAAUUUGAGGAGCAGGUGGAUGGCUGGGAGAGCCGGUGGAAGGGAGCCUGUGAGGAAUGCUAUGGCAGCAAAUAGAAGUUUAGUCUGCCUCUGGUGACAAGGUCUUCAGAGACUCUUCCUCCAGGCUGGGUUUGCAGCUGGGAACAUCAAUCUCCCUCCUGACUACUAGGGCUUAUUAGCAUUCUGAGUAUCGCUUUCAAUUAAAUUUCUCAAAUGCUCAUUUAGUUUCUAGUUAAUAAGGCAGGAUUGGAUGUCAUGUAUGAUCCAGCAGGUUAUUUUUAAAGGAUAAAAAUAAAAGGAGCCCUGUGAUAUGUUAAAUGGCAGGCCUGGUUCCUCUGUAAACAUGGUACCCAAACCACUGGCCACUGUUGGCCUUGCAAAUGGACACAGGGCAUUUUGAAAGUUAUUUUUCCCUAAUGGCUGAUUUCAAAUAUUCACUCCUAGGAAAACCAACACAUUGUUCCCUGAUGGCUGCACAAAUCCAAUCAGCUUUUUUAGCCCAAAUUAUUCAAGGUUUGUGUAGUAAAGGAGUCCUACAAGUAGGGAACAGAGGUAGUUCUAAAGUGGUGCUGCAGAUAGGAUCUGUCAGACCCUGAACACCUUUUUUUUGAGGUGAUAAUGAUAAUAAUGCAAAUAAUUGCAGUGAGAGACACUAUUUACUAAGUGUCUUCUAUCUCUCUGUUACUGUAGUCAGCGUUCACUUAAUUUUCAUAUAAUCCUGUGAGACAGGACUCAUAUCCAAUGUCAGAUGGUAAGACUGAGGCACAGAGCUUAAUUUGCUCAUGAUCAAGAACAAUUUUGUACUAAUAGAGAAAUGGCAAUUGUACAAAUAAGAGUCAGGCUUUUAACAUUGGUCUUGUCCUUUCACUCUUCUCCAUCUUCUUAAAGUCUGAAAACAUAGUGUGGAACAGUCUUUCAUAGACUUACUGGCUGACAGCCUACUCAGGAGGAAGGGUGAUUGAGUGUGAGGCAGAGAAAAGGAUCAUGGUGCCCUCAUCGUGUCAGAAGAGUUGUGAGGAGAAGAUGUAGAAAAUCAUCACUUUCCCCUCAAGACCAUGUGUUUAUGUCCUACCUGUACUCCUAACUCAGGGCAGUGGAGGAUUGAAUGCUCUAGGGCUCUGUAAUCAAAACCUACUCUGAGCUCCAACUGUGCCUUUUUUCUAGUUUAGUGAAUCCAGAAGAGUGGCCUUAUUCUGAACCCAGGCUGUUUUCAAAGGCAUGACUUUCUGCCAUCAGGUUAGAAACCUUGAACCUUGGUCACAGGGGUGGAAACAUGAACUGGGCUUGGUCAUUCCCAACCUUGGAUUCCUUUGGACAAAGGAAUGGCCCAGAGGUGGUGUUUGUACUUCUGUGAGCCAGGCCUGUCCAGAUUGUAUUUGGAACGAAUCCCAGUUCUGGCACUAAAUACUCAUGACCUUGAGGGAACAUUUGACCUUUCUCUAUGAGACAAAAAUCAUGGGAUUUGAUUAUAUUAAUUCUCUACUUCCAACAAGUUCUAGUAAUUUAUUAUUCCCUAAAAGGAAAAUAAACUGAGAGCUUUCCAUUCAAUAUUUUUGGGUCCUAUAAAAUAUCAGAGAUAGAGACAGGGGGUGUUUUGAGGAAAAAUCUCUGUUAGGUAGCUAUGAAUAGCUAAAAUAAAGGUAUUUUUUAAAAUGAGUUUUAUAAAAAGACUGUACACUGGGGUUUGAUGCCUCUUUUGAAAUAGUCUUUGAAAACCAACCCACUCACAAGAAACUUUGUAAUCUUUGGUAUAUUUUUUGGCACAUGACUCCAGACCCAUGUAGGGAAGGAGGUUUCACUGGAACAGAGUUUAUAAAAGGCUAAGAGGCUAUGAUUAUAGCGCAAGAGCUUUGUAUAGAAAUGUGUAAACAGGAAACAAUAAGUGGCAUUUGAAAUAAGAGGCCCAAGGGAGAAAAAGAAUUCAUGAAGAAAAGAUGUUAAAAUAAAUACUUGCUGAGUACGUAAUACAUUCAACAAAAAGCUAAACUUUUAAAUUUACAUUUUCAAUAGAAAAUCAGAAGGUGGCAGUACUGCUUACUGAAUAGACUCAUAUGACAGCUCCAUGGAAACCUAUAGAGAGAAUAAGCCAUUUUGUAGAUUAUGAGCAGCAGCUAGAAGUUUAUCACUAAAAAUGAAAUGAUUCUCGGUAAAAUUCAUCCCUAAAACUUCUGAGUUUUACCUGUGGGUGGGGCACACUAACCCAGUUAUGGAUGGCUUUUACUUCCAGGAUGCAAUGAACCCAGGACGCACUGAAGCUUACCAGAACUAAGAGUGAGACUGGCCCUUUUCUGGUCUUUGGCCACAUUUAUUGCCAUGAGAACUAAAAGGUAAUGGCCUAACGUGGGUCAGUCCCCAGAACUGCAGCAUCAGAGUUACCUGGAAAUUUUUAAAGAAAUGUUGGUUCCAAAAAAGAAAAAAAAAAAAAAAAAAA